ACUGAUUUUCCUGGAUGGAACAUACAAAAUCUUGGGGAACAUCUUCAAGUGGAGUCAUUUCAUGUGUCCUUGUGUUGGAAGGAUGACUGCCCUUACAGAAUUAUUGAUAGUCCUCGAAAAAAAUUNAGUGUUUUUUUGCUGCACUUGGUCUGUGGCUGAUGGAAAGCUUGCUUGGCAGAUCAUUUCAACCAUGGAGAAAUGUCGUUUGACCGUGCAAAAUUUGAAUCAAAAUACUGAUUGAUAGAUACUCAUGAACUCAUUGUAGUGUAUAUAGUGAAGAAUCAGCAAUGAGACCAGCACCUAGGAACCAGCUACUAAACCUUGCUUCAACAGCAAUGGAAAAAGUUUACAGCAAUCCAGCAUCACCUACUCAUUAACUUCAUCAGGAUUGAAACUCAAACUGCAUUCACGGGCAUGCUUUUUUAGUUAAGCGAGAGACCUCAGUGAAAUGCCUUCAAAGAAGAGCUCCAGUCCAUGGCAGACGCACCUGAAUGAGAUAGGAAUUGUGCUUUUAGAGCUACAAAACGAAUGGGGUAUUUGCUUUCUGUUGCUUUUGUUAUAUUCAUAUCUGCUUUGCAAUGUCCACUUUUGACCUUGCCCCUUUUGCUUUCUAUAGGUUGUAACAGUGUCAAUUUGUUUGAUGUGAUUUAUUGAUUUGGCUUUGGGGGUCUAAUUAUUUGGACCACUUGAUAAUCUUGAUCUCCUGUGUAAAUGCUCUCUCUCAC
rnacentral:misc_RNA from 1 species